rnacentral:rRNA from 1 species
UUGAGACGCGGCAUACGGCUCAGUAACACGUGGCUAACCUACCCUCAGGACAGGGACAAACCCGGGAAACUGGGGCUAAUACCAGAUAGGCGAGGACGCCUGGAAUGGUUCUUCACCCAAAGGACCUUGGAAACAUGCUUCCAAGUCGCCUGGGGAUGGGGCCGCGUCCGAUCAGGUUGUUGGUGAGGUAACGGCUCACCAAGCCUAUAACCGGUACGGGCCGUGAGAGCGGUAGCCCGGAUAUGGGCACUGAGACAAGGGCCCAUGCCCUACGGGGCGCAGCAGUCGCGAAAACUCCGCAAUGCACGAAAGUGUGACGGGGCUACCCCGAGUGCCGUCCGCUGAGGAUGGCUUUUCCUCGGUGUAACUAGCCGGGGGAAUAAGGAGAGGGCAAGACUGGUGUCAGCCGCCGCGGUAAUACCAGCUCUCCGAGUGGUAGGGACGAUUAUUGGGCUUAAAGCGUCCGUAG